rnacentral:lncRNA from 8 species
AUUGGUAUAUAUCACAGAAGGCUGCUGAAGGGAGAACAGCUCAUAAUAAUGGCCAGAACAGAGCAAAUGGAAUGGCAUCAAACACAUGGAAACCAAGUGUUUGAUUUUGUUAAAAUCCUUCCGCUUAUUCCGCUCCAGCCAUAAUUAAGGUGCCACCCACCUCCUGUGGUAUACAGUAUAUCAUAUCAUCUGAUAUAUCAUAUCAUGUUCACUGUAGAGUAAGCAGGACAAGCUACAUAAUCUCUUUGGCACUGAGGUAUUGGUUUUCCAUGAGGAGAGAGAGAGUGGAAGGUGAGUACAAAGUGUGAGUUGGUGUCAAGACAAGACAUUCCAAUUUCACCCAACAAUGAUACAUUUGGAACCUUUGACAUCUAUGACAUCACUUCAAGAAUGCAAGACUUAAAAAAUAGUCAUGGUGUCCCUAUAGGCCUGUUGUCAUCUAUAUAUAUAGACAACUACAUAAUUUUACCAGAACGCCAUUGAUCAGACAAAAGGGAUGUCUUUUGGAAGUUUAAGAUGCGAGGGUACACAAGUCAAAUGACACCAAGAACAGGUAGGUGGCUAUGACUGAUGUAUGGUUUUACUCUAUGCAUGUUCAUUUGGAUCAGAAACAACAUUUGAAUUUAAAAUGAAAGUUGAUAAUUUAUGAACAUUUUAUUAAUUAAGAAAACAGACUUUUGUCUAUGGUCUAUUUCUAGGAGGACAAUGUGAUAAAGCGCUUGCAGACCUUUUGAAGGAUGACGUUUUUGUGGAUUUCUUCAAUACAUUUCUGAAUUUGCCAGUGUUUGGUCAGACUCCGUUAUGUGUUCUAUCCGAAAACAAGUGGUACCUUUGUCCUGAAAUUCCAAUCAUCCAGGAUGUGAGAAGAGGCGGAUUCCUUGUAUGGUUGAGCGUGCAUCGGUUCGUUUACUUCAAACAGACAGAGCUGUAUAACUACUACUCCUUGUG